UUUCUGAGAUUGCAGGGUUUAGGCAGUAGCCUUGAAGGAUACAGAAUUGGAGGAAAGGCAACCUGGUUGAGAUUUAAUUUGAUGUGAAGAGAACUAUAUCUCAGUAUGAGUCUGUCAUGGAGAAAAUAAAUAAUAGUGUUUCUUUGUUACAAAGGAAUGCUAUCUGGGGGUGGGGAAGAAGAAAGGCUCAAUAUUAGUUGUACCAAAAGAGAAAUACAAAGCUGACUCAUUUCACUCUCAGAAAAAAAUCCCUAGGUCGAUUGAUUUGUAACUCCCUCUGCAGUCUCUCAUCUGUCAAGAUUGAAAAAGUGCUACAGUUUUUCAUCUCAGGAGCCAUUAAGUGAAAAGCAAAAAUUAAACAUGAAGUAUUUUGCAAUCCUUCCCCACCAUUUCCCAGUCAAACAGUAUUCUGUAAAAAUGUGGAUUGAUAGCCAAUAGACACAACUAUGAAUUAUUUGCCAGCCAUGUAACUGACACACAGGCAACAAAAAUAAAUAAACCAGGGAGAGGAAGUAGGGGAAAGAAAAACACUCACAUUCCAGCUCAGGACAGAUACAAGGAGGAAACAGACCUGGUUGUGACUGAUCAAUGGGUCCAUGCUUCAGAGGUUCAGGCCAUGGAAAUACCCCCCAGACCACACUUCUGUACUCAUGACUACUGAUGGGACUCAGCUGAAAUCUUUUCCUUCUCAGCUGAAAUCUUUUCCUUUCCCCUAAAUUGCUGAGGCAAUCACAGUAGUAAUUUUUUUUCUUUGUACGCAAAUUAGGUAAAAACAAUGCCUCAAAGCACCCCUUAAGGAGCAUUAUCAUUUCUUCUACCUUCUUUGGCUUAUUAUGGGAUGCUAUAGAAUGUCCUACUACACACACACACACACACACACACACACACACACAUGCAUGCAAAGACCAAAAUCAGACAAAAAUAAAACUCUUUACUAUUUUCUUAUUCUAUUCCCUCUUCUCCCAAGGAAAUAUCUUCACGAUGGAUUUUUUUUUCUUCUUGAAGUAGAAACCCAGGCAUGCUUGCACAUGCACACACACUUUCUCUCUUUCUUUCUUUCUUUCUUUCUUUCUUUCUUUUUCUUUUUUUAGUCUCCCAUUUUAAAGAGUAGACCAUGAGAAGUUACUGAAACGUCAGGCUCUAGCAGUAGACAUGUUAUUCAUUAAAGGUGUGGCCCUAGAAAGUUUUAUAACCCCUACACAAUCCCAAUUUUAUUUAUAAAAUGGAGUUGCUAAGAUUCUUUGAAAAGUUCCUGAUCAUAAAAAUUUAACAAAUGUUGAGUCAUAGUAUUAAGUGGUUUUUAAAUGGAUAGCUUCAUGCACAUCUGUAUUAUUCUUUAAUUGGAUUACUUGAUCAGAAAUAUGUCUUAGAGAGCUUUUCUUGUCAGCACAUAGACUUUUGUCCUAAUCUCGCAUAUAUUAUUCUGUGAUACAUGGGUUCCAUGAUUAAUACAGCCUUCCUCUAUUGCUGGAUAUUUAUUACUCAGUUGCAUUUUGUUUGCUUGUUUGUUUCC
rnacentral:lncRNA from 1 species